rnacentral:rRNA from 1 species
AUUGAACGCUGGCGGCAGGCCUAACACAUGCAAGUCGAGCGGCAGCGACUUAACUGAACCUUCGGGGAACGUUAAGGGCGGCGAGCGGCGGACGGGUGAGUAAUGCCUGGGAAUAUGCCCUGAUGUGGGGGAUAACUAUUGGAAACGAUAGCUAAUACCGCAUAAUCUCUUCGGAGCAAAGAGGGGGACCUUCGGGCCUCUCGCGUCAGGAUUAGCCCAGGUGGGAUUAGCUUGUUGGUGAGGUAAUGGCUCACCAAGGCAACGAUCCCUAGCUGGUCUGAGAGGAUGAUCAGCCACACUGGAACUGAGACACGGUCCAGACUCCUACGGGAGGCAGCAGUGGGGAAUAUUGCACAAUGGGGGAAACCCUGAUGCAGCCAUGCCGCGUGUGUGAAGAAGGCCUUCGGGUUGUAAAGCAUUUUCAGUAGGGAGGAAGGUAGUGUAGUUAACACCUGCAUUAUUUGACGUUACCUACAGAAGAAGCACCGGCUAACUCCGUGCCAGCAGCCGCGGUAAUACGGAGGGUGCGAGCGUUAAUCGGAAUUACUGGGCGUAAAGCGCAUGCAGGCGGCCUGUUAAGUCAGAUGUGAAAGCCCGGGGCUUAACCUCGGAAUUGCAUUUGAAACUGGCAGGCUAGAGUCUUGUAGAGGAGGGUAGAAUUUCAGGUGUAGCGGUGAUAUGCGUAGAGAUCUGAAGGAAUACCAGUGGCGAAAGCGGCCCCCUGGACAAGACUGACGCUCAGAUGCGAAAGCGUGGGGAGCAUACAGG